UCCUAAUUAGUUAAGAUAUAUAUAUAUAUAUCCCUAAAAUUAUAGGCAACGCCUCGUGCCCCGAGCUAGACAUGGAAAGGCACUAGCCUCUUGCAAGAGGCCACACCUCAUCAAGUCGACGUGAGGCUGCCUUGCCCAGCACCUUUAAUAACACUGAAUACUUCUAUCCUAAACAUGAUGCAUGUGGAACCCAUUUGAUUUCCCUGUAACUUUUUGUUUUCUAGUUAAUUUUGUUUACAAAUGAAACUCGGGUAGAAGAUUAAUUCUCAGGAUAUAGCCUCUCCACAGAGUAGGGAUAAGAUGAAGAUCCCUAUAUUAACCAUUCCCACAUCUCACAAAUAUGGGAUGCUUCAUGUACCUGGUCAACUUAUUUUUUAGAAGGUUAAUUCUACAGGCAGAGCAGUGGAGUGAUUCAGAGAACAAGUGGACUACAAAAGUCAAAGCAUGUAAGUUUCUCAUCGUUGCUUCUAGAUAUCCACCAGACGAAAACUCCCAAUUACUUUUGGAUUUGUUGAAUUUUAACAGAUCUUCCUUGUUUUGAAGAAUGAUCUUCCUUCUUAUUGGUGGUUAACCAAAAUUACAUACAAGAACAAAAUUCCAAGUCGUGUAUAAAAACAUAUCCGUCGUUCUUGGUUCUUAGUUUCAAUAAAUGAAGAACAAAUUAAAACUAAUUUCAAAACUGAUAGGAAAAUAACCUGGUCGACCCCAUGCUUGGCUGUUUCUUUCCACAGUUGAAGAAGCGCGAAAAUGAUGCUGGCCGAUGUAAAGGCGGCACAAACAUCGGACAUGAGGGGGUUAUCCAAGAGCAUAGUGGCCAACGCCGCCGGCGACUUAGGCGUUUAGUAAGUGUUUUAGCUGUGGAUGAUUUAUUGAUAUUGCUACAGCUGUGUGCCUUACAUUAAGAGUUUGUCUGUUUCUACAGCCUACUUACCUAAUUCUCAGCAGACUAAUUUUAUUUAUUGAUUUAGUCAAAAAAGUAAAAAGACUAAGCCAAUUAAUUCUCUCUUCACUUAUGCAACAAAGCAAAGCAGCCAAAGGCGGAGAGGGAAAAGACAUUUACUUGGUCGAAGAUGCGUCGUUUUGCUGUUUCUUGCCAGAUGCGGAGUAGCGAGAGAGCAAUA
rnacentral:lncRNA from 1 species